CCUGCGGAGAGUACUAGAACUUGUGAGUAGUAUCGAAACAUUCGAUACAAAAGCAUACUCAAUGAAGCAGGAA
rnacentral:ncRNA from 1 species